rnacentral:tRNA from 1 species
GCCUGCAUAGCUCAGUAGGUAGAGCAACUGACUUGUAAUCAGUAGGUCGUUGGUUCGAUUCCGACUGCAGGCU